GGCGAGUGGCGGACGGGUGAGUAACGCGUGGGAAUCUGCCCUCAGGAGGGGGAUAACGGCCGGAAACGGCCGCUAAUACCCCAUAUGCCGAGAGGUGAAAUGAAUUUCGCCUGAGGAUGAGCCCGCGUCUGAUUAGCUAGUUGGUGGGGUAAUGGCCCACCAAGGCGACGAUCAGUAGCUGGUCUGAGAGGAUGAUCAGCCACACUGGGACUGAGACACGGCCCAGACUCCUACGGGAGGCAGCAGUGGGGAAUUUUCCGCAAUGGGCGAAAGCCUGACGGAGCAACGCCGCGUGAGGGAUGAAGGCCUCUGGGCUGUAAACCUCUUUUCUCAAGGAAGAAGACAUGACGGUACUUGAGGAAUAAGCCACGGCUAAUUCCGUGCCAGCAGCCGCGGUAAUACGGGAGUGGCAAGCGUUAUCCGGAAUUAUUGGGCGUAAAGCGUCCGCAGGCGGCCUUGUAAGUCUGUCGUUAAAGCGUGGAGCUUAACUCCAUUUCAGCGAUGGAAACUACAAGGCUUGAGUGUGGUAGGGGCAGAGGGAAUUCCCGGUGUAGCGGUGAAAUGCGUAGAUAUCGGGAAGAACACCAGUGGCGAAGGCGCUCUGCUGGGCCAUAACUGACGCUCAUGGACGAAAGCCAGGGGAGCGAAAGGGAUUAGAUACCCCUGUAGUCCUGGCCGUAAACGAUGAACACUAGGUGUCGGGGGAAUCGACCCCCUCGGUGUCGUAGCUAACGCGUUAAGUGUUCCGCCUGGGGAGUACGCACGCAAGUGUGAAACUCAAAGGAAUUGACGGGGGCCCGCACAAGCGGUGGAGUAUGUGGUUUAAUUCGAUGCAACGCGAAGAACCUUACCAGGGUUUGACAUCCUGCGAAUCCCUUGGAAACGAGGGAGUGCCUUCGGGAGCGCAGAGACAGGUGGUGCAUGGCUGUCGUCAGCUCGUGUCGUGAGAUGUUGGGUUAAGUCCCGCAACGAGCGCAACCCACGUCUUUAGUUGCCAGCAUUCAGUUGGGCACUCUAGAGAGACCGCCGGUGAUAAACCGGAGGAAGGUGUGGAUGACGUCAAGUCAUCAUGCCCCUUACAUCCUGGGCUACACACGUACUACAAUGCUACGGACAAAGGGUUGCAAGCUCGCGAGAGUUAGCUAAUCCCAUAAACCGUGGCUCAGUUCAGAUCGUAGGCUGCAACUCGCCUACGUGAAGGAGGAAUCGCUAGUAAUCGCAGGUCAGCAUACUGCGGUGAAUACGUUCCCGGGCCUUGUACACACCGCCCGUCACACCAUGGAAGUUGGCCAUGCCCGAAGUCGUUACUCCAACCCUUGUGGAGGAGGACGCCGAAGGUGGGGCUGAUGACUGGGGUGAAGUCGUAACAAGGUAGCCGUACCGGAAGGUGCGGCUGGAUCACCUCCU
rnacentral:rRNA from 2 species